AUUGAACGCUGGCGGCAGGCCUAACACAUGCAAGUCGAGCGAGCGGCGGACGGGUGAGUAAUGUAUGGGGAAUGCCCGAUAGAGGGGGAUAACUACUGGGAACGGUAGCUAAUACCGCAUACUAUCGGGUAACCCAUCUGGGAUUAGCUAGUAGGUGAGGUAAUGGCGCACAUAGGCGACGAUCCGUAGCUGGGUUGCGAGGACGACCAGCCACACGUGGACUGAGACACGGCCCAGACUCCUACGGAGGCAUCAGUGGAGAAGUUUGGACAAUGGGGGAAACCCUGAUCCAGCCAUCCCGCGUUGAUGAUGAAGGCCUUCGGGUUGUAAAGUACUUUUGGCAGAGAAGCGGUAUCUGCAGAAUAAGCACCGGCUAACUACGUGCCAGCAGCCGCGGUAAUAC
rnacentral:rRNA from 1 species